AGAAAUGUGGGGUUCAUAAGAGGGCUGCUAACUUUCUUAUUAGUGGUUAAAAUCCAUUAACAUUUCU
rnacentral:tRNA from 1 species